CAAUGUUGAUUGUCGUAUUUAUAGUAAAUUGUUGAAUGCUAUGGAUAUUUCUGUUUAGACUGUUGUUAGCAAUACCGAUACUAUUAAGGAGUUAUGGGAUGCUUUGGCGGAUUUAUACUCUUCUCUGAAUGAUUUUUUGUGACUCUAUGAUGUUGUUUGUCGGUUGUUGAAGCCGGCUCCUGCUGGUCGGCCUCUGUAGGGAUAUUAUGAGGAUUUUAAAUCAUUUGCUGAUGAGUUUGAUCGGUUAGUCUUGUUUACAUCUAUUUGAGCUACUUUUCAAGAACAAUGAAAUCAAUUUCUAGUCACUUGCUAUCUUAAUGGGCUGGGAGCUGAGUUUGACACUGCUCGGUCACAAAUCCUUUCGGAUGCUCGAGUUCCUUCUCUUAGAGAAGUUCAUCGCCGUGUUCUUCAUAUUGCGAGUAGCGAUGAGGUUAGAGCUGGCCCUUCGGAGGGUGGUGAACAGGCUGUUGCUCUAUAUACGAACAAAGGAGGUGGUCGUGGCGAUGGAGGCCGUGGCGAGGGGGGAGGUCGUAGUAGCACUGCCGGUCGUGGUCGGGAGACUCGCACUUGCAAUUAUUGUAGUAUAGUUGGGCAUCUUCAUAGCUAUUGUCGGAAAUUACAAGCUGCACAUGCAGAUUCUUGUUCACGGACCACAUCUGCUCAUGUUGCAUUUCGGAGUGUGUCUAUGGACCAGAAGGUGAUCACAAUGAGUCCGGACAAGUAUACUCGCUACUUGGAGUUUCGGACCUCAAGGAGUGGGGCUGCGUCUGCCUCUGUUGCAUAGCUAUAGCAGUUGUCUGAUUAUUCCUCUACCUCAACAUGUACAGCUCUUCCUUCCGCUAAUUGGAUUAUUGAUUCAGGUGUCGGUGCUCACAUGAUGAGUAAUAAAGGUAUUCUUACUAUAUAUCAGUCCUCGUCUCCGUUAAGCCAUAUUACUAUUACGAACGGAUCAUCCUUGACGGUUCGGGGACACGGAGUUGCAAAACCUUCUGAUGAGAUCUCCUUAUCUUCUGUUUUAUAUACUCCUGGCAUGCCAUUUAAUUUGUUAUCUGUUGGUCGUAUCACAUGGGAUUUGAAUUGCUCCGUGACUUUCUACCCCGAUUAUUGUGUCUUGAAGGAUCUCUCGAUGCGGAAGACUAUCAGUAAGGGAAGGGUCAAUGGUGGGAUCUACCAGCUGGAUGGUGCGUCUGUUCCAGCUGCGUUAGUAAAAGAGACGGAUGUUUUAGACGUUCGCUAUCAUCCGGGACAUCCCUCUCUAUCUUUGUUGCGGUUCUUAUUUUCUCGUUUUCGUUCGUUGUCUACAAUAAAUGGCAAGUCCCGUCAGCUUGCAAAGCAUAUUCAUGUUUCUUUACCAUCAAGUGUAUCACAACGAGCAACUGCUCCAUUUGCUUUGAUCCAUUCUAAUGUGUGGGGACCUAGUCCUGUUGUAUCAGCCUUUGGUUACCAUUACUAUGUUCCUUUUGUCGAUGAUUUCACAAGAAUGUCAUUUGAUUUACUUAAUAAAAGAACAUUCUGAGUUAUUUUCUAUGUUCCGUGAGUUUUAUUUUUCUGUCCACACUCAAUUCCAUCAUCACAUUCAAGCUUUACAAUCUGAUCGAGGGGGGAAUGUAUGUCGAAUCAUCUCCAUCAAUUUCUCCGUUCUCAUGGUAUUCACCAUUGUCUUUCAUGCCCUUGCAUACCUCAACAAAAUGGUGUUGCUAAGCAGAAGAAUCGCCAUCUUAUGGAUCUUGCUCAUGCUCUUCUUAUACAUAUGCAUGUUCCACAGAAAUUCUGGGGGGAUGCUUUCUUACAGCAUGCUAUCUCAUUAAUCGCAUGCAUCUUUCUUCUCUUGGGGGUAAUACUCCACAUGGGCUCCUCUUUCCUAAUUGAAGUCUCUUUUCCCUUUCCCCUAAACUAUUUGGUUGUACUUGUUUUGUCCAUGAUGAUCGUCCGGGUGUAUCAAAACUAGAUCCUUGUGCGCUCAAAUGUGUUUUCCUUGGUUACUCACGGGUGUCAAAGUGUUAUCCUUGAUAUUCUCCUAUCUUAGGAAGAAUGUUCACCUCCCGUUAUGUCACCUUUAUAGAGUCUCAGCCUUACUUUUCUACAACUGGCUCUAGUUCAUCUGAUCCAAUCCCGCAAUUAUCCGAGUCCACAUCUUCUAACCAUGUCCUUGUCUAUUCUCCGCCAAGAGUCUCUCGUCCAGUUAUCUCUCCAGCGUCUUCACUAGAUACUACCCCCAUUGUCAAUUCUCCCUCUAAGCCGGUCUCUCCCCUGGAGGAUCCUCUUGUUGAACCGGUCUCUCAUGUAGCCGAUCUACUUACUGUGACCGAUAUAGCUGGGCAGCCUAUUCCUCUUCGUAAGAGCUACUGUGCCUAUAGGGAUCACCCUCUUUAUACACAUUCCUACAUGGGUUUAUUAGUGAGUUUGUCGACUUUUGUGGCUAAUAUUGAUGCUAUUUCCCUACCUACUUCUAUUUCCGUGACUCUUCAGCAUGCGGGUUGGUGUUUGGCCAUGGAGGAGGAAAUGAGUGCCCUCCAACGCAAUCGGACUUUAGUUGAUCUUCCUCCUGGUGCUCGGGUUAUCAACUAUCAUUGGGUGUUUGCGGUGAAGGUCAAUCCCGAUGGAGCUGUUGCUCGUCCGAAAGCCCAGUUGGUUUCUAAGGGUUAUGCUCAAACUCAUAGUCUUGAUUACUUUGAGACCUUCUCCCCGGUUUCAAAAAUGGCCUCUAUUUGCCAUUUCUCAUCCCUUGCAGCUGUACAUUCUUGGUCUCUCCAUCGGUUGGAUGUCAAAAAUGCUUCCUUCACGGUGAUCUUGCUAAGGUUGUCUACAUAGAGCAACCCCCAAGGUUUGCUACUUAGGAAGGGAAAGUUUGUAAGCUUCGUCGCUCUUUGUAUAGUUUGAAGCAGUCUCCUCGAGCAUGGUAUAACAAAUUCAGCUUAGUGGUUCGGAGUUUUGGUUUGCUUCGGUUUCAAAAGGAUCAUGCAGUGGUCUAUCGUCGUGCUACUACUGGGUAUAUAUUUCUGAUUUUAUAUGUGGAUGACAUUGUUUUGACGGGGGAUGACGAGCGGGGUAUUAACGAGCUGAAGAGAUAUUUACAUACUCACUUUGAGACGAAAGACUUGGGUGAUUUGAGAUAUUUUCUUGGCAUCGAGGUGGCUCGGAAGAAAGGAAGUAUUUCUUUGUCGUAGCGUAAGUAUUUUCUAGGUAUUUUGGUUGAAUUUAACAUGUAGCACUCUUGAUCCACAGAGUCGCCUACGGAGCUGUAAUUGAAGCUUCUUCCCGAUCGGGGUGAGUUGUUUGAACGCCAUGAAAGAUAUCGGCGUGCUAUUGGUAAACUAAACUAUCUCACUACAAUGACUAGGCCCGAUCUUGCAUAUUCCAUUAAUGUGGUUAGUCGGUUUAUGGCAACACCUAGACAACCACAUUGGGGUGCUGUUUUGCGGAUUUUAAGGUAUCUUCGAGGUAGUCCCAGCAAGCGGAUUGUUUUAUGGCCACGCUCGAAUGGAGUGUUAUACUGAUGUUGAUUGGGCUAGUUGCCCUACUGAUAGGCGAUCUACUUCUACAUAUGCUUUGUAUGUUGGUGGUCAUUUGGUUUCAUGGAAGAGUAAGAAACAGGACAUUGUUGUGAGGAGUAGUGCUGAAGCCGAGUAUCGGGCCAUUGCUGCAACCACUGCAGAGAUUAUGUGGACUAGACAUCUUCCGACCGAGGUUGGAUAUGGGUCAAGUGGUCCCACUUCAUUAUGGUGUGAUAGUGGUUCAGCGAUUCACAUUGCUUCAAAUCUUCUCUUUCAUGAGAGAACAAAGCACAUUGAGAUUAUUUGUCAUUUCGUUUCACAGGAGCUUACGCGUAAUAGUAUCACUCUCUCGCAUGUUCGUAUUGGAGAUCAGCUAGCAGAUGUGUUUACUAUAUCUUUAGCUAGGCAGCGGGUUCGCUUUAUAUGUAACAUGCUGGGCAUGGUCGAUAUCUAUGCCUCGGCUUGAGGGAGGGUGUUAUGAGUUAUUAUAUUAUUAUUUACUAUCAUAUGUGGGAAUGUCCACCGUAUUACUAUGUACCCUCAUUAUUAUUAUAAAUAGGAGAGCAUGCUAACCUAGAGGGGUAGACAAUUCAUUCA